rnacentral:sRNA from 1 species
AAACUACAAGGGGAGCCGAAGCUCCCCAAGAAGUAGUUGCAUGCUCUAUUUUUAUUUUUGGUUUCGGGCUUCUUGUUUUUGUUGAGUGCCCUUGCCAUGAAGCUUUCCUUCAUGACCCUCCCAAUCGGGAGCCAAGAGCAAACGGAUUGCUUUGGUCGCUGUGUUGCAGUGAUCUUGCGAUCCAACCAGUACAGGCUCUGUCUAAAGACAGUU